CUGCUGGUUUGAUAUCAUAUCAUUUUUAUGUGGUUGAUCUAUCAUGUCUACGUUUCAACCACUGUGUAUGCUGUAACAUCUGUUUUUUUACAAACGCAUCAUGAAUACCUUGUGGCGCUUAAUAACUAGAUUAUGACGAGCUCUCUUACGGUUUACAUGGUCUCAUCACCAUCAGGUAUGUGGAAGACCUUGAACCACAGUAAUUGCAGUUACACAUGUAGUGUAUAAUUUUUUAUGCACGCAUUACAGCUUGCACUUGAAGAGGAAUGAUGAAGCCAAGAAGAUGGCGUCUAAGAAGAACUGGUCUUGGCAUGCUUCUGCAGCAGGCCAUUCAAGUUCAGAAAAAUAUUCCGAGCGGUUUGGUUGCUCCAGCAGCAGCAAUGAUUUUAACAAGCCGGACAAGCCCUGUGGCAAAACUGUGGGCGAUCUAGACAUAUAACUUCCUUGAGAAGAAAUAUACAUAAAUUGUAUCUCCACCGCCACAAAUGUGUGGCGAGAACAACAGAAAUACAAAGUCUGUACUUUGUUUAGGUCUCAAUAAUUUUGUGUAGAGUUUAUUCAGUUCAGCUCAUCAUAGGACAUGCUUAAUAUUUUUUAUCCACAGAAGGUUGUAUCAGUGGGAGAUUAGUUGAUGUCAUAGUUUUGACUCAGUAUUUGCAACUCCCUGUCAUCACUCAAAAA